UUGAACGCUGGCGGCAGGCCUAACACAUGCAAGUCGAACGGUAACAGGAAGAAGCUUGCUUCUUUGCUGACGAGUGGCGGACGGGUGAGUAAUGUCUGGGAAACUGCCUGAUGGAGGGGGAUAACUACUGGAAACGGUAGCUAAUACCGCAUAACGUCGCAAGACCAAAAAGGGGGACCUUCGGGCCUCUUGCCAUCGGAUGUGCCCAGAUGGGAUUAGCUAGUAGGUGGGGUAACGGCUCACCUAGGCGACGAUCCCUAGCUGGUCUGAGAGGAUGACCAGCCACACUGGAACUGAGACACGGUCCAGACUCCUACGGGAGGCAGCAGUGGGGAAUAUUGUACAAUGGGCGCAAGCCUGAUGCAGCCAUGCCGCGUGUAUGAAGAAGGCCUUCGGGUUGUAAAGUACUUUCAGCGGGGAGGAAGGGAGUAAAGUUAAUACCUUUGCUCAUUGACGUUACCCGCAGAAGAAGCACCGGCUAACUCCGUG
rnacentral:rRNA from 1 species